UUGCAUUAUAGGAUUAGUAUGCAUUGCCUUUCCUUAUGUUUUUCCUUGAUGAUAUCGUAGUGUACAUUGGAUAUUUGAUAUAUUGGAUUGAUAAGGAUUGGGUCGAGAUUGUGAAUCCUAUAAUGUAGAGAAAAUGAUGAACUAUGAACGAGUGGCAUCUAGUCAAUAGUAAACUAUGAACGAGUGGCAUCUAGUCGAUAGCG
rnacentral:lncRNA from 1 species